GUGGGGAAUAUUGGACAAUGGGGGGAACCCUGAUCCAGCCAUGCCGCGUGUGUGAAGAAGGCCUUUUGGUUGUAAAGCACUUUAAGCGAGGAGGAGGCUUACCUGGUUAAUACCUGGGAUAAGUGGACGUUACUCGCAGAAUAAGCACCGGCUAACUCUGUGCCAGCAGCCGCGGUAAUACAGAGGGUGCAAGCGUUAAUCGGAUUUACUGGGCGUAAAGCGCGCGUAGGUGGCUAAUUAAGUCAAAUGUGAAAUCCCCGAGCUUAACUUGGGAAUUGCAUUCGAUACUGGUUAGCUAGAGUAUGGGAGAGGAUGGUAGAAUUCCAGGUGUAGCGGUGAAAUGCGUAGAGAUCUGGAGGAAUAUCGAUGGCGAAGGCAGCCAUCUGGCCUAAUACUGACACUGAGGUGCGAAAGCAUGGGGAGCAA
rnacentral:rRNA from 1 species